ensembl:lncRNA
GCACAGAGGUCUACACGCUGUAAUUUACCAGUCUUGUUCCAGUCCAAGAGUUUGGAGAGGUUGCAGGGUUCGCACAUGCACAGAAAGCUGUUCACUUCUUCAACUUCACGUCUAAGCUCGCGCGGAGACUAUGAUAUAAAGACAAAUUUGAGAAAUUUGAAAACCCUUCCAAAAAUAGUAUUUGGAUAAAAUAUUUGGUUUAAUAAUUUGUCAUUCUUUUUUUAUAUAAUAUUUUUAGUUGUGGCAUUUCUAGAGGCACUACACAUUUCCAUCUAGUUUUCAUUAUCAGGUUAUGUUCCUACAGUGACAGCAUCUGGUGCUGAUGGAACAAUGCAUGUUUCUGGAGGGAGUGAUGACAUCCGCUUAGCUUGUCUCUCUCGUUCCAUAACGAGAACCUCCAAGUCGGUAAGAAUGGGUUUAUUGUGGAGCCAUCUGCGCAUGUCCCCCAUCCCUUCAAGCGCUUCUCUGAACGCUUUCCUGUCCCUGAUCCAGUCCGGGUGCUCCGCGGGUUUGCCUCCAGGGACACGCGAGUAGGACUCGGCGGCGCCUCUGCGGGCAGAUGCAGGGCACCACCACUGCAUUUCUGUGAUCCCAAAGAACCACAUGCCACUUGAAAUAGGUACGUCUCUGUCAAAUCUCGCUUUUUUAACCGCCCGAAUUCCUCUUCCAACGUCGGGUCACCCAGUAAGCACUCCGUUCCUAAUACUGGACUUUUUGGCAUUGUUUAAAAAAUAGCUAUUCAAAUAAAAUUAAGCUAAAAUGGAAUAUGGCAGGAUUUUUAUAAAACGCCACUCGCUUCUGUAAAUGUAGCUGUGAAAUAACUAGUCUAUGGGUGGCAUGUUUACAUGUGUAUCCAUG